rnacentral:rRNA from 1 species
CUAAACGGCCGCGGCACUAAAACCGUGCAAAGGUAGCACAAUCACUUGUCCAUUAAAUGAGGACCCGUAUGAAAGGCAACAUGAGAGAAAACCUGUCUCCUAAGGCUAGCCAAUGAAAUUGUACUACCAGUACAAAAACUGGUAUAUCAAAGCAAGACAAAAAGACCCUGUGGAACUUUUAACAAAUUAUUUAAACACAUAAAUAAUAGUUUCAGUUGGGACAACUUUAGAAAAAAUAAACUUCUUAAUUUACCAAGACCAACAAGUCUAAGACAACACAGACCCAGUAAUACUGAUUAACGAAACAAGCUACCCCAGGGAUAACAGCGCCACCUUCUCAAAGAGUCCAUAUCAACAAGAAGAUCUACGACCUCGAUGUUGGAUCAGGGUACCCAGACGGUGCAACAGCUGUCAAUGGUUCGUUUGUUCAACGAUUAAUACCC